rnacentral:rRNA from 1 species
AUUGAACGCUGGCGGCAUGCCUUACACAUGCAAGUCGAACGGCAGCACGGGGCAACCUGGUGGCGAGUGGCGAACGGGUGAGUAAUGCAUCGGAACGUACCUUUCAGUGGGGGAUAACGUAGCGAAAGUUGCGCUAAUACCGCAUAUUCUGUGAGCAGGAAAGCAGGGGAUCGCAAGACCUUGCGCUGAUUGAGCGGCCGAUGUCAGAUUAGCUAGUUGGUGAGGUAAAGGCUCACCAAGGCGACGAUCUGUAGCGGGUCUGAGAGGAUGAUCCGCCACACUGGAACUGAGACACGGUCCAGACUCCUACGGGAGGCAGCAGUGGGGAAUUCUGGACAAUGGGGGCAACCCUGAUCCAGCCAUGCCGCGUGAGUGAAGAAGGCCUUCGGGUUGUAAAGCUCUUUCGGCCGGGAAGAAAUCGCACGGGCUAAUACCCUGUGUGGAUGACGGUACCGGAAUAAGAAGCACCGGCUAACUACGUGCCAGCCGCCGCGGUAACAC